GCUCAGUUGGUUAAGCGUUUGACUCUUGGUUUCAGCUCAGGUCAUGAUCUCAGUGGUUCGUGGGUUCAAGCCCCUCAUUGGGCU
rnacentral:tRNA from 1 species